AUUGAACGCUGGCGGCAGGCCUAACACAUGCACGUCGAGAGAGUGGCGGACGGGUGAGUAAUGUAUGGGAAACUGCCUGAUGGCGGGGGAUAACUACUGGAAACGGUAGCUAAUACCGCAUACCAUCAGAUGAACCCAGAGGGGAUUAGCUGGGAGGUGGGGUAACGGCUCACCUAGGCGACGAUCCCUCGCUGGUCUGAGAGGAUGACCAGCAACAAUGGGACUGAGACACGGUCCGGACUCCGACGGGAGGCAGCAGUGGGGAAGAUUGCACAAUGGGCGCAAGCCUGAUGCAGCCAUGCCGCGUGUAUGAAGAAGGCCUUCGGGUUGUAAAGUACUUUCAGCGGGGAGGCGUUACCCGCAGAAGAAGCACCGGCUAACUCCGGGCCAGCAGCCGCGGUAAUUC
rnacentral:rRNA from 1 species